UACGUAGGCAGCGAGCGUUGUUCGGAAUUACUGAGCGUAAAGAGUGUGUAGGCGGUGUUCCCAGUCUGUUGUGAAAUCUCCCGGCUUAACUGGGAGGGUGCAGCGGAAACUAGAAUGCUAGAGGGUGGGAGAGGUAAGCGGAAUUCCUGGUGUAGCGGUGAAAUGCGUAGAUAUCAGGAGGAACACCUGUGGUGUAGACAGCUUACUGGACCACUUCUGACGCUGAGACACGAAAGCGUGGGUAGCAAACAGG
rnacentral:rRNA from 1 species